rnacentral:rRNA from 1 species
AUUGAACGCUGGCGGCAUGCCUUACACAUGCAAGUCGAACGGCAGCGGACCUUCGGGUGCCGGCGAGUGGCGAACGGGUGAGUAAUAUAUCGGAACGUACCUUUCAGUGGGGGAUAACGUAGCGAAAGUUACGCUAAUACCGCAUAUUCUGUGAGCAGGAAAGCAGGGGAUCGCAAGACCUUGCGCUGAUUGAGCGGCCGAUAUCAGAUUAGCUAGUUGGUGAGGUAAAGGCUCACCAAGGCGACGAUCUGUAGCGGGUCUGAGAGGAUGAUCCGCCACACUGGAACUGAGACACGGUCCAGACUCCUACGGGAGGCAGCAGUGGGGAAUUUUGGACAAUGGGCGCAAGCCUGAUCCAGCCAUGCCGCGUGAGUGAAGAAGGCCUCGGUUGUAAGACUCUUUCGGUCCGGGAACGGAAAUACGCACAGGUUAAUACCCUACGUGUGGAGUG